UACGUAGGGUGCGAGCGUUGUCCGGAUUUAUUGGGCGUAAAGGGCUCGUAGGCGGCCUGUCGCGUCGGGAGUGAAAGCCCACUGUCUAACGGUGGGUCUGCUUUCGGUACGGGCGGGCUAGAGUAUGGCAGGGGAGACUGGAAUUCCUGGUGUAGCGGUGGAAUGCGCAGAUAUCAGGAGGAACACCGGUGGCGAAGGCGGGUCUCUGGGCCAUUACUGACGCUGAGGAGCGAAAGCGUGGGGAGCGAACAGG
rnacentral:rRNA from 1 species